rnacentral:rRNA from 1 species
GGCUCUUUGGCAACAAAAUGAUGGGGAGUCGGGCCUGCCCGGUGAUUAAUUUAACGGCCGCGGUACUUUGACCGUGCGAAGGUAGCGUAAUCAUUUGCUCUAUAAUUGAGGGCUUGUAUGAAUGGUUUGACGGGAGUUUAACUGUCUCAUCCUGGUUUUUUAGAAUUUAACUUUUAAGUGAAGAGGCUUAAAUAGAAUUAAUAGACGAGAAGACCCUAUUGAGCUUAUGAUGAGUUUUAAUGGCGUUAAUAUUAAAGUGUCUUUGAUUGGGGCGAUUAAGGAACAAUAAAAGCUUCUUUUGUAGUUUAAAAACUUGCGGGUGUUGAUCCAUAACUGGUGAUUGAAGGGAUAAAGUUACCGUAGGGAUAACAGCGUUAUCUUUCUUGAGAGUUCUUAUCGAAAGAAGGGUUUGCGACCUCGAUGUUGGACUAAAGUUUCCUAAAGGUGCAGAAGCUUUUGAGGGUUGGUCUGUUCGACCAUUAAAACUUU